AUCAAAUCAGGGUAAUUGGGAUAUCCACCACCUUAGACAUUUAUCUUUCCUUUGUGUUAGGAACAUUGCAAUUUUUCUUUCCUAGCUACUUUAAAAUCUACAAUAAGUCAUUGUUAACUAUAAUUUUUAUAUUCUACUUAUGAAUACUAGAACUUCUCUAUUCUUUUUAUCUAACUGUGUUUUUAUACUCCUUCACAAACUUUGCAUGUAUCUUGAUGAUUUCUUUCCCCACCAGUGCCUUUAAUUAUGUGACUGGACCUGCAGAAUUCCUGGUCUUUUCUACAGUCCAUCCUUCCUACACCUGCCCAGCAGAAUUAUACUCCUCUCGCAUGGCUGCCCUCAGGACCUCCUGUCUGGUUCCCCAGGGAGAAUCUGUGUUCAGAUGUGGGCUUUCUCCCUCUCACACUUUGGGCGCUGAGUUUUUCAACUGUCUCACAUCACAGAAUUUGCAGCAGGAAGCUGCUUCUUUCAAAAGGUAUUACACUGGGCACUGAGGACACAGAGAAGAAUAAGAGGGCUUUACCCUCAAGAAUCCUGCAAGUCUACCAGCCACAAAUUGCAUCCUGCUCACAUCAAGCCACUUGGUGUGUCCUGACAGAUUGGAUGGGAGCGCUCCCAGAUAAAAAGUGGUAGGAGUUAGUACAAAACCAUCAAAACUUUGGAGGACAUAAGGUCAUUGAGCUCAUUUCCCCACUGAAUUUCACUCUUGUGGCCCAGGCUGGAGUGCAAUGGCGUGAUCUCAGCUCACUGCAACUUCUACCUCUCGGAUUCAAGUGAUUCUCCUGCCUCAGCCUCCCAGGUAGCUGGGUUUACAGGAAUGAAAUGGACGUUCUUACUCAUCAUACCAUAAGCAUCCAGGUGAAUGAUUGCUCACUUCUUUCAUCUAAUGAGGAAUUGGCUUUCUUGAGAAUCUCAAUGCAGUGUACCUCCAACCUUAACAGACUGCUGUAAAACACCCUGACCAUUCUUUAGUAUAAGCACUGAAGAAGACAGUAUGUUGACCACGAGGCACCUGGCCUGGCUCAUAGUAUGCCAUCAAGAAAUGCUAAUUUUCUAUUUCCUCUUUUUCAAAGAGUUAUUUCAAGAAAGAAAGGAGAGGAGAGGAUGUUACAAAUUCCAUGUAAAUAAAAUUUGUCACUAAUUCUGUGAACUAAUUGAUAUCAUAAUUUGAUUCUCUUACCUCUUUUUAAUCUCUCUAUUAGUCCAUUUUUAUGCUGUGAAUAAAGACAUACCUGAGACUGGGCAAUUUACAAAAGAA
rnacentral:lncRNA from 10 species